rnacentral:sRNA from 1 species
CAAGAAGAGGUGCUCAGAGCUGGAGCAGCAGCUGCUGGAGAGAUCUGGAGAGCUGGAGCAGCAGCGGCUGAGGGUGGGUGCCAGUGUGGGGCAGGGGCAGGCCCUGCCCUCCACCUGCCCAACCUGAUGCUUUAACCUCUCUCCCACCUAGGACACAGAACACAGCCAAGACCUGGAAAGCGCCCUCAUCCGGCUGGAGGAGGAGCAGCAGAGGAGUGCCAGCCUGGCCCAGGUGAAUGCCAUGCUCCGAGAACAGCUGGACCAGGCAGGCUCGGCCAACCAGGCUCUGAGUGAGGACAUACGAAAGGUGACCAACGACUGGACACGCUGCCGCAAGGAGCUGGAGCACCGGGAGGCGGCAUGGAGGCGCGAGGAGGAGUCCUUCAACGCCUACUUCAGCAACGAGCACAGUCGCCUGCUCCUCCUCUGGAGGCAGGUGGUGGGGUUCCGGCAGCUGGUCAGCGAGGUGAAGAUGUUCACUGCGAGAGUGACAGAGUUGGCCCUGGCAGUGGAGCGUCUUCAGAAGCAGAAUCUGGAGAAGGAUCAGGUCAACAAGGACCUCACUGAGAAGCUUGAGGCCCUGGCCGUCUUGUCAGACUCUGAGAGCGGCGUCCAGCUGAGCGGCUCUGAGCGCACCGCGGAUGCUUCCAAUGGCAGCCUGCGGGGGCUCUCGGGCCAGCGGACCCCGUCCCCACCGCGGCGCUCCUCGCCUGGCCGAGGCCGUUCACCCCGCCGAGGCCCCUCCCCGGCCUGCUCAGACUCCUCCACGCUCGCCCUGAUCCACUCCGCCCUGCACAAGCGCCAGCUGCAGGUCCAGGACAUGCGUGGGCGCUAUGAGGCAAGCCAGGACCUACUGGGCACCCUGCGGAAGCAGCUUAGCGACAGCGAGAGCGAGCGGCGGGCCCUAGAGGAACAGCUGCAGCGCCUGCGGGACAAGACCGAUGGCGCCAUGCAGGCCCACGAGGACGCCCAGCGCGAGGUGCAGCGGCUGCGGAGCGCCAACGAGCUCCUGAGCAGGGAGAAGAGCAACCUGGCCCACAGCCUGCAGGUGGCCCAGCAGCAGGCCGAGGAGCUGCGGCAGGAGCGGGAGAAGCUGCAGGCUGCCCAGGAGGAGCUGCGGCGCCAGCGGGACCGGCUGGAGGAAGAGCAGGAGGACGCAGUGCAGGAUGGUGUGCGGGUGCGCCGGGAGCUUGAGCGCAGCCAUAGACAACUAGAGCAGCUGGAAGGGAAGCGCUCAGUCCUGGCCAAGGAGCUGGUGGAGGUGAGGGAGGCGCUAAGCCGCGCCACGCUGCAGCGGGACAUGCUGCAGGCCGAGAAGACUGAGGUGGCCGAGGCGCUGACCAAGGCUGAGGGCAGAGGAGGCCUCCCUGCAGGACUCCCUGUCCAAGCUGAGCGCCCUCAACGAGAGCCUUGCUCAGGACAAGUUGGAUCUGAACCGCCUUGUCGCCCAG